UCGCGACCGUUGCCGCCCCGCCCGCGGGCCCAACGGCUCCUCGGGACGGCGCCGCCGCCAGGAGAAUGCAACUAAGAGAAGAAGAGAUGAGCUCUGCAAUGAAGAAAAUGAACCYAGCAGUCCAUCUGAGCAAGCCUGCCUGAGUACAGGAGUAGACACCAUUUGAAACUGGAAUGUGUAUUUCAGCUUGCCAUUCUUAUCCCUGCUCAAAGCUAAAGCUGAGACUCUGCUCACUGAGUGUGGCAUAGGCAAUGCUGAAGAAGGGAAGAACGGGCUUGGGAAGCAAGAGCUAUUUCAGAGGUGCCUUCUUCCUUGCAUAAAGUCCAAACAUGAGGACCUCUAUAAACCUCAUUAGAUCCUGCCAUCAAUGCCUGAGCCUCCCUGAAAUCUUCUUAUCAGUUACUGCCGAGAUGAGAAGGAUAAGAGGAAGGAGGAGCGCUUAAGUGGUUCUAAUGACAGCUAAUUUCAUUGUUUAUCAAAUGACAGGUUGUUUUUUUCUUAAAACUCAAUUGUCAUGCCUAGAUGCUUUUUGGAAGUAGUCUUUGUAAAAUAAAACUGACAAUUUUAGGCUACAAAGAGCUAUUGUAAUCUUUCUAGAUGAUGUUGUCACUAUGGUAAACCUCUGGAAAGUCUGUAUUUUUACGUAAUUGAACUUGCAUGCUUUACUCAUUUGUUUGAAUGUCUAUUGAAUGCCAUGUGAGAAGUUUCUUUCCAAAGUUAUUUUAUUCAAUAGAGCAGUUAUUCUUAGAACACUCAAUUGAUUAUUUUCUAAAUUACUGUUGCCUUAGCCUCCCGCAAAAAUGUUUCUUUUCAGUAAUUCUUAAACAAAUAAGAAUGAAUGGGGUUUUGUCCUCUUCCUGUUUUGAUCGGCAUAGCUUUCUCCUGUUAGUGAAAGCUUCUUCAGUCUUCAGAAUGACACCAUUACAAAGAAAGGUGCUUUGCUUUUUUUCUUUUUCCAACGGAAAGUGUCUUCUGGUGCAGUGAUUUUUGACCGUGUACCUUGCCAAGACUAAUUACUGGAGGGAGAGAAACUGUUGGGAGUGUUGUGCCAUGCCAAAUUAAGAGUUAUUAGCUCUUUGCACCAUCUCUUCAACUAGAAUCGGCCCUGUUGCAUCUGGCUUAGACAUUGAAUUAGUGGAACUAAUGUGUUCUUG